AGGUUACAAUACAAUUUCAGAUACUUCAAGUGUACAUGUGGGGACCAUAUGUUGGGAUUACGGAAAUGUCUCUUGAAAUUCACUAUUCUCCAAACAGAGGCAUUGUGCAAGAUCAAGAAUGGCCAUCAUAUAUACCAGAUGAAUUAUAGCGAAAUCCUUAUUACUACUUAAAAAUUGUUGGUGUUAAUCCCAUCGUAAACUUUGAAAGCUUAAUGUCUAUUUAUUUAAAAAGAGUUGCGUUAGUUAUAAAGUUAACCCUUAAACUCCAAAGAUGUGAUGGUUAAUCCUCCGCUCUAGCUGCUAUACAUUUCCUUGAAAAUAGGCUACGGGAAUUUGAUGCUAGAUCAAGAUUAAAACUUCACGUUCUUCUGAGAGUUAAAGGGUGACGAGGCUAGUUGGAUUUACGCAUUUUGCUCCAACACUCUGAAAAUUGAAUAUACUC